AUGUGAGAUUUUAAACAGAAGCCUUUGCUGUCACCCCUGCCAAGCCCUACCAAACCCUGUCAGCCCCCACCAAGGCCCUCUCAAGCUUCACCAAGGCCUGUCAACCCCCUACCGAGACCUAUCAGCUCUAUAAUCUGAAAAAAGUGCAGUGUCUUAGGAGGGAUUGAUUAAGUAAACAGUGACUUAUGGCCAAAAUGGAACUAUAUGGAGAUUAAGUAGAGAUUAGAAUAGAAGCUGAAAUUGAGCAGGAUAGUUACAAUCACAGACUUCCAACUUGCUACUCCUUGGUGUGAAAGAAUCUGCAGGAAAUUAAGUACAUGGCAACUCCUGUUAGUCCCUCAUGUGUUCUUGAAAGCAGACUGACAGAUUCAGUGUGUGACAUGCUGACGUGGGGGAAGGCUGUCUGGUGGCUGCUCUAUGCUGUAGCUAACAAAAUGGUUGUGUUUCAAGUGUUGUCAUGCCUGGAAAGUCUACAGGUCAUCAUUACUAGUAUAAAUGUGUACUACAAUGGUGAAAUUUAGUGAAAAAAUGUGCUGUUUAUGUAUUGGCAGGGAAAGAUUUGUGCUCAUCAAGACAAUGAUAAAAAAAAUUUUUAUAUUAUUAUUAUUAUUACUAUUUUUUUUCUUUUACUUGUUUUGCUGUAAGAUGAGACUACAAUAACUGCCCCUUGAUGCCCUAUAAGGUACCGCCAAGCACCAAGGGGCGGCCACCACGGUGUACAGUGAAGCACGUCCCAGCAUCCCUGUCACCAUCUUUUCCCUGCCAAUAAUUAUGCAUUACAUUUCCCAACUAAUUUCAUUCUAGUACAACAUUUCUACUACUAAUGGUGGCCUGGUUAAUCUGUUAAGGGAGCACUUUGUUCAACAUCUUUAAAAUAUUAUUUGAUCAUCACCUGUAUCUCUCACCUGAUGAUAUAGAUAGGCUGGGUGUAGGUAACAACUUUCAACCUCUCCUCAGUGAUGGACAAUUCAGAGACAGUGAGGUCAGCUUCCCCUGACUGCAGAGCUCCUACCGUGCCCGUCCACUCGUUGCUUGAGCUGUCCUUCAGUUUCCCAGGGGCAGUCGGUCUGUACAUGCGUGAGGUGGCGAGGGGCGUGGCCAGGGGGCGGCUAGUAGCGUGUGCCACCAUGGAAAUAUGUACAGACAUAAAGAAGACGCCCUCAAGAAAGACUACCCCAUCCCCUGCCUCCCGCUGUGCCCCACCCAGACACCACGGCCCAGCAGUGACGCCAUUCCACCUGCUACACGACGCUGGCUGACGCACUCCAGACGUGGCAGCAACAGGAGGUGGAGGGCAGGAGCAAGAGUCGGAUGGAUGGCGAAGGAAGGCAUGAUGGCGGAGCUGGUGGCUUUGGAGGGUGUUCGUGCAGGGUACCUCGGCAGGGUCUAGAUUAGAGCAAAUGGAUGAUGAGAGACUAGUAAGGUGUUUGUGUGGAAUAUUAGGAGUAGCAGUUGGGGGAACAAGUGUGUUAGGAUGGUAAUAAAGAAUGGCUUGGAAACUAGUUGUUGGGCUUUUGAGGGGUUGAGUGAAGCCUUGUUGAGAGUGAUGGAAGUAGGAUUGUCAGAAAUGGAGAGGGCUUACAAUGUUAUGUAACUAAGUGGACAAGUGAGAUAGACAGAGUGAUCAAGCACAUGGGACUGAGUGAGCCAAGUGUGGAAAUUCUGGGAUGGAGUGAGCCAGGUGUGGAAAAGUGUGGAAAUUGUGGGAUUGAGUGAGCCAUGUGUGGAAAUUGUGUAGAAAAGUGUGGAAAUAGUGUGGAGAAGGUGUGGAAAAAAUGUGGAAAUUGUGGGGUUGAGUGAGCCAGGUGUGGACAAGUGAGAUAGACAGAGCGAUGAAGCAUGUGGGGUUGAGUGAGCCAGGUGUGUGCGUCACUUGGGGAUGACUGUGAGCUAACCUGGGACCAAUGGUUGAUGACGCUCACUGAUGGAAUUAGAAGCUGCAUGAAUUGUUUAUGUAGAUUUUAGAAGCUGUCUCAAUUGUUUGUGUAGAUCUGAAGCACUUACUUUGAAUUGAAGGCUUGGACCAUGUAAUAUCUUUGUAAUUCUUCUGUAUCUCUGUCAUAAGUUCCUUAGAUAACUCACUACUGUUUUUGUCUCUAUAUAAUAAUAUGUACAUUUACUCAAACUGCAUUUCCUUUCAGUGUGCAGGUUGGCAGUAAACCUCCCUGAAGGUUCCAGAACUGCUCACCAAGUGUCCAGCCCAGCCUGUCACAAGACUAUGUGACAGUGGACCUUCCACUCAUACUGAAAACAGCUGUGCACUGCCACUCACAGGAAGUGGUGACCACUCUAGAUUGAGUUGUCUUGAAGCUGAGAUGAGUUGGUCGGGUAAUGAGUGACUUGCAUCAAGUGACCGUGAGGUGUUGGACGUGAUAUUGUGUUAUUGCAAGUGUAACCAGUAAUAACAGCGUUCGACCGUUUCUCUAGGGGCAAGCGACACCUCCUGGUGGGGGACUUCAAAUCUGCUGUCGCUGCCUUCGAGGAGGCAACAGAGUCCCUGGUGGAGCUGUGUGGGGAGCAGGCGCCCGAGUGUGGUGACGCGUACUGCCGCUGUGGCCGUGCAUUGCUGGAGCUGGCACGCAAGGAGGCAGGGGUGCUGGGGCCAGAUCUGGAUGGUGCCAGUAGUCAGGAGGGAAGCACAGGGGAAGAGGAGGACGAGGAGGAAGAGAGUUAAGAGUCACAAGAGGAGGAGGAAGGUGGAAAGAAAGAGGAAGGAGAGGAGGAGGAGGAGGAGGAGGAAGAUGGAGAAGGAAAGGAGAAAGAUAAGAAGGAAGGAAAUGCUGCAGAAGGAGAAGAGCAAUAAGACAUUAGAAUUGACAGAGAAACCAGACAAGGGACUGCAUUUGAAGAAGCACAAGAACCAAGAAAUUACAUCAUUCAAUGAAAUGACAACAUAAUCUAAAGUACAGAUACCAAGGGGAAAUUGCUGGGUCAAGUGGCUACACUGACAUCUGAGGUUAGCAGGUUGGAGAGUGAGUGCAGCAGUCUUCAGGUUCAGCUAGACUGUGAGAGGGAUAAGUAUAACAAACUGCUGGGAGAAUCUCUUGCUCAUGAAAAGUUGUCUGAAGAUGUCAUAACUGAACCAAAAGGAGAAACAACAGGAUUGGGAGGAACUGAGCUUUAACAGAAGCUGCAACAACUGCAGGAGGCUCACAGGGUCCUGGAGAGCAGGUUAACUUGCAGCAUGAAGGAGGUGGCUGAGCUAAGUGACAGGAAGUAGCAGCUUAAGCAUGCUGUAGUGCAUGAGGAGACAGAGUCCAUCGGUGUAUGCAUGUUUUUUGCUCAUUUGAAUCAUCUGUAAAAGUGAAGUGGAGGAAGUGUUUACUGUUUACUGUAUGCCAUUUCCUUGGUCUUUUAAUGAAGAAUUUUAUCCUUCUUCAGGUGACUACAUCACCAUCUACCAGUUGCAGCGAGGAGUGAUGAAGCAACAAGCUCGAGAACGCGAGUUAGACCUUGCCAGCCUCCAUCAUGAAUGAGAGGAAAUGAAGCAAAACCACUCUGCAGGAUUUGAUAUCAAAGCUGGUGCAGGAAAAGGAAGCAGAUCAUGACCUUCAGCAGCUCGAGAAGAUAAGCAGCGUCCUUAAGAGUCCAGUUGCUAUCUUUAGCAGUGUUGGAACCAGUGAGUCUGAGACACCCACCACCAGUGGAAAGGUGGCUGACGAGCGCCUCAAGCACUCUGAAAAGGUGGAGCAACAACAAGAAACAGAAAAUUGCAUCCAUCAUUCUUUGCCUGAGGAGGGAAUUGAUGCUCUGUUGACCCUUCACACUGAUGUCCCUCAUGAGGAGGGGAGAAUAUGAAUCCUACAGAACUUGCCCAUAGGAAGACCAAAACUGUUACUGCUGCCACACUGCCACCACUUCCACUGACACCAAAAGCCCAACUGUGCAGAGAAUCCUGGACCUCCGCAAUGAAAUGGAGUCCACCAGUCACCUGGAGCACUUUAGCCUCCAAAAGUUCCAUCCGUGUCCAUUGUGUUUGGGUAAACUUAUCACUGUAUAAGGGGACAAGUAUCAGUGUAUGGUUACUAUAUACUCAUUUGUACUUAAAGAUGUCAUGUCACAUCAUUCUCUCUCUCUCUCUCUCUCUCUCUCUCUCUCUCUCUCUCUCUCUCUCUCUCUCUCUCUCUCUCUCUCUCUCUCUCUCUCUCUCUCUCUCUCUUUUUCUUUCUUUCUUUCUUUCUUUCUUUCUUUCUUUCUUUCUUUCUUUUGUUGCAUAUGUUACUGCUUUACAUUCCUCCCCACAGUAUUUUUUCAUCUACUUUAUGACUGCAGUAGUUUUAUCAUCCCAGUGUAUGCUGUAUCCACUCUGAAACUGUAAUUCACCAAUCAGCUCAAAUGUGUCUCUGUUUUGAUAAUCAUUAAUUUGUUUCAGCUACACAACCACUCUGAUAAGGGACAAAAUCUACUUCACCAGUCAUCUAUGUCAUACAGUCAUAUAUAUUCAUACAUAUGACAAAAUACUCUUCCUAAGACAUUUCUUAUUUUCUCUUCUCAAGUGACCUGUCCAUCUAUCUAAGGUACCACAUAACAUUUAAAACUUACAAUAUUGUGUUUAAUUCAUGAACACUUUUUUGUCUAUCUAUGGAGACUUGCGUAUAGACUUGAAAUGUAUUGGGAGUUUUCUUUAUCUCUCAUUCUAUACCUAACACCUGUUCCUAAGAAUCCCCAGGUGAUAGCCAUGGUGACUGGCUGGUCUCCUACUGAGUGGCUGGGGUUUUCCAAAAGUGAGGGUUGGUGUUCCAUACCAUACCAUGUGCCCUGUUUGUAUUCCUUCUUUGUCCUCUGUAUUAUAUUCUAUGUAAAGAUGGUGCUGGGGUGGGAUCUACUUCUUAUUCCCUAAAAGUGAUGAGGAGUGACACUGGGCAGCAUUGAUUUGCUCCUUAGAGAUGGCUGGGUUCCUGUGGAUGAGUGGGCCAUGCUGUGCUUUGUCAAGGAUGGUGUUUGGUAUUGUGAUGACUCUUGCCACAAUCAAGUGCCUCCCACAGAGUAGUGGAGUACCUAUGUAUGGUGUUGACCCAAGCUGUCCAGGUCUCAUCCAAUGCCUUAAUAUGAUUUAGAUGAUCAAAAUGGUUUAACUCACCAUUUAAUCAGCUGACUGAUUUGAAUGGAGAAGUAUGUAAUGUGUUGUAGCCUAACCAUCCCUGCCAGCAUGGUCAGAUUCUUGGUAGUAACCUGAAAUGCUCCUAGGUAGUGAGUAUCAUUGCACAUAAUGAUCUUUACUUUGUCAGUAAUUCAAUGAUACUGAAUAUUACUCUACUGGAUUUUGCUCAGCACUGCUUGGUAACUUUUGGCCAUAAUCCCAGGUCUGGAAUGAUAUGAAGCCAUGUUUUUACAUUCCAUAUGAGACGGGCAAGCACUAUGCUUUGCCUGACUGAUACCUGUACUUUACAUUUAUGACCCCAGGUAGUUCAUCACUCUCUCUCUCUCUCUCUCUCUCUCUCUCUCUCUCUCUCUCUCUCUGUUUGGAAUUAUACUGUAUAUUAGGAAAUAUCAUUAAAGAGUGUGUGUGUAAAAAGUGUUUGCAUUAUUGUGCAUUUGAUGUUAUAGCCCCAGGUUCUUAAAGUUUUCUAGUUUCAUGAUUUAUAAAGAUUGCUAUUUUUAAUAAAGUUAUUGAAAUUGUUA